AGAGUGUCAGCCUAUGGACUUAAAGGUCCCAGGUUCGAUUCCGGUUAAGGGCAUAGGCCUAGGUUGUGGUCUCGAUCCCCCAUAUGGGUGUGAAGGAGGCAGCCAAUCAAUGAUUCUCUUUCAUCAUUGAUGUUUCUAUCUCUCCCUCCCUCUUCCUACCUCUCUGAAAUCAAUAAACAUAUAUUUUAAAA